rnacentral:misc_RNA from 1 species
AACGCACAUUGCGCCCCUCGGUAUUCCGGGGGGCAUGCCUGUUCGAGCGUCAUUACACCCCUCAAGCGUAGCUUGGUAUUGGGUCCUCGCCCCCCGGGGCGGGCCCGAAAAACAGUGGCGGCCCGUCGCGACUUCGAGCGUAGUAAAUUAUCUCCCGCUUUGGAAGUUCGCCCCGUGGCUCGCCAUCAACCCCAAUUUUUCAAUGAUUGACCUCGGAUCAGGUAGGGAUACCCGCUGAACUUAA